rnacentral:lncRNA from 1 species
GGACAAGGCCCGGGCGGCACAGGCCGCUCCACGGCACAGUGCCAGUCCUGGUAUGGACACCCAGAGCAGGAUGGAGAUGGGGCAGGGUGCUGCCCCCGAGGUAUUGUGGUGUGCCUCCUGACGCCCAUCCUCACAAUGCUGCAGGGCCCCUGGUGAAGGCAAAGACUGUGAAGAAGCCGGAGGGCACAGAUACCCCCCGCACCUCUCGUGCCAGUGCUCUCCAGGCAGUGGCUGCCUCGGUGCAGAGAGCGGUGGCUGUGGCAGGUGGUGAGGUGCCCGUCAGCCGUGGGGCCAUCGAGGGCAUCCUCAUUAAACACGUGCUGGACCCAAGUAAGUACAGCCCAGCCCAGCCCAGCCACCUUCUGCCCACUUUAGUCCCCAAAUUCAGGAGCCACCCUCAGGCAGGACGAGGUGGGAAAGGAGCUGGAGCUGCCUCUGGCCUCUCUUGCAGACAGCUCCAAGAUGGGCAGCAGAGCUGGUGACAAGCCAUAUACCCCAACUGCCUGCGAGGAGCCAGAGGCCAGGAGCAGAAGCCACAGCCUGAAGCCUCCCGCCCAGCCCAAGAACAGGGAACCACAAUUGCACCCCCAGGGCCAGCUGCAAGCAGCCACUGUCUACAGCCAGGACCCUGCGCCCCACCAGGUGAGCCCUCGAUGUGACACCUGGUGCAGCCCCAGGAGGAACUGUUGGGGUUCCCCUGGCAUGUUCAUUUGCCUUGGCCAUGAAAAGAAAACACAGGGUUCAGCUCCUGGGGGUUCACCACAUUACAACCCCCAAGAAACAGGCAAUCUUACCACCCUGAAAGGAUUGGUAUGUUUGGUGCAGGGUGGGUGAUGCAGGGGGAGAGGGCAAGGGCGGUGAAAUACCUGGCCACAGCCAUGGAUUCAGCCCGUGAGGGUGGCAGUGACCCCUGCCCACUCCCCCGGGGACAGGAGAAUGAGGAUGAGUGUGCAGCAUGCGGUGACGGUGGUGAGCUCAUCUGCUGUGACGGCUGCCCCAGGGCCUUUCACCUUGCCUGCCUGGUGCCCCCGCUGCCCCACGUCCCCAGGUGAGUCCCAGGCACGCAGCGAUGCCAGUGCCCCCGCUGCCCCACGUCCCCAGGUGAGUCCCAGGCACGCAGCGAUGCCAGUGCCCCCUGCCGUCCCUC